rfam:Brenneria sp. EniD312 chromosome, whole genome shotgun sequence.
CAUGACUAACACACCGUUCUUCUUCAUAUUCUUUUUCACCUUCCCCUGAUUUGGGAGGCGAUUCGUCGUAAGAGCAAGAAUACGAAGACGAACAAAAAGCCUCCUGAAACAGGAGGCUUUUUUUUA